rnacentral:rRNA from 1 species
AGAGUUCGUAGGUGGUUGAAAAAGUUGGUGGUGAAAUCCCAGAGCUAAACUCUGGAACUGCCAUCAAAACUUUUCAGCUAGAGUUUGAUAGAGGAAAGCAGAAUUUCUAGUGUAGAGGUGAAAUUCGUAGAUAUUAGAAAGAAUACCAAUUGCGAAGGCAGCUUUCUGGAUCAUUACUGACACUGAGGAACGAAAGCAUGGGUAGCGAAGAGGAUUAGAUACCCUCGUAGUCCAUGCCGUAAACGAUGUGUGUUAGACGUUGGAAAUUUAUUUUCAGUGUCGCAGCGAAAGCGAUAAACACACCGCCUGGGGAGUACGACCGCAAGGUUAAAACUCAAAUGAAUUGACGGGGGCCCGCACAAGUAGUGGAGCAUGUGGUUUAAUUCGAAGAUACGCGCAGAACCUUACCAACACUUGACAUGUUCGUCGCGACUUUAAGAGAUUAAAGUUUUCGGUUCGGCCGGACGAAACACAGGUGCUGCAUGGCUGUCGUCAGCUCGUGUCGUGAGAUGUUGGGUUAAGUCCCGCAACGAGCGCAACCCUCACUUUUAGUUGCCAUCAUUAAGUUGGGCACUCUGAAAGAACUGCCAGUGAUAAGCUGGAGGAAGGUGGGGAUGACGUCAAGUCCUCAUGGCCCUUACGUGUUGGGCUACACACGUGCUACAAUGGUAUCUACAACAGGAAGCAAAACAGCGAUGUUAAGCAAAUCCUUAAAAGAUACCUCAGUUCGGAUUGCACUCUGCAACUCGAGUGCAUGAAGCUGGAAUUACUAGUAAUCGUGGAUCAGCGUGCCACGGUGAAUGCGUUCCCGGGUCUUGUACACACCGCCCGUCACACCAUGGGAGUUGGUUCUACCUUAAGGCAAGGUUUCAAACCCUUGACCACGGUAUAG